UUGUGUGUGCAUAUGUAUAUAUAUAUAUUGUUUAUUUGUAUAUAUAUUGUUUAUUUGUAUAUGUGUAUAUAUGUAUAUAUUUAUAUAGAUAAAACUUACUUGGAAAAGGAUGUGUGGCGUUCGAUCAUAUAAUAAUAUAAAUAAUAUAUGUACAUAUAUGUAUGGAUAUAUGCAUAAGUAUAUAUUUUUUUUGUAUUAUAUAUAUAUAUAUAUAUAUAUAUAUACACAUGACGUGUGCUUUUGCCUUGUGAAAAUCAUCCUGUGUACUCUCAUGGGUUGUUGGUUAUAGGAAGGGCAUCCAGCUUCAUAAACUGUGCUAAAACAGACAUGGAAGUCAAGUGCAAGCUCCUGCCUGGCCAGUACCUGUCCAACUGUCCAACUUAUGCCAGCAUGGCAGAUGGCCAUUAAAUGUUGGUGAUGGUAAAUUUGCUUGUCAGGCUAUCUGAGGACUAGACAAUAUCAGGAACAACACUACAUGGCACUACUGCUCCUACACAUUUCAUAGUUGUGAAUCCCAUAAUCUGUUGGAACAUUAGGACCAUUUCAAAGAAUUUGUCUUGAUGUAGUGUUAUAAAGAAAAAGUAGAAAUCCUUGUCUUUCAAAGUUAUACCCAUGUGGGAGAUUUAAAUUUUGUACUACAAGGUAAUAGAAUAAUGGAAGAAGUAAAUACAUUUAAUGAAUAACAGAAAAAAAAAUUGCAGCACUGUUGAGGUAUUCCUAUUAAAUGGUAGUCAGACUGGAUAAUUUGUGAGUUAAGUAAGCGCAUGGCUUAUGAGGGGAUAUGGAUUGCUGAUCUCUGAGUUUGUUUAUCAGCAACCUGUUAACUUUGCCUUCUGUGACUCACAACCAACAUUACAUACACCACAUUACACCACCAUCAUUAUAAUUAUUAUUACAUGCCAUUAUUUAUGUUUGUGCCUUCAUUUACUAGAAAUAGCAAUCAAAUUUCCCAUAAAGUUAUGGUGAUGCAAACAGGAAAAAUAGAACUCAAAAUAGGAGUAUAUAUAUAUUUAUCAAUAUUUAGCAGAAACAUUAGAGUGACUGAAGGGUUGAUAGUUUCAUGUGUUGGCAAUUAUGAAGUGCCAACAUACGAAACUCUUGACCCUUGGGUCACUCUGUUGCUUCUGCUAAAUACACACACACAAACACACACUCUAUAAUUCUAUCACCAUUUCUAGUGAUACUGCUUUAUGCAGCAUUAGCAUUUACAGCAUUGCAACUAUGCAUAUGCAUAAACACACAAGCAGUUGUUGCCAGACACAUUGACAUACGAGCAGGUGUUGCCAGAACUACUUACUCCACAUUAUAACACUGCCUUUUUUUCUUGCUGCUGCUGCUGCUGCUGCUACUACUACUACUACUACUACUACUACUACUACUACCUUCUUACUAACCUCUCUCUAAGUCACCCAGGCUCUAUUGAUUUACUCUGUACUUCAUAGUAUAGUCAUUAAUUUAACAGCAUUUAAUGUUGUUGGUUAGUUUGAUACCCAGCUACAUUGUUGACUGCUAUUGUGUAGCUCUUGUCAGUACUGUUUUAUCAACUUCAAGUGUUUAGGACACAGGAAAUCUAAUGAUGCAAAUAAAAACCAAUCCAAGCAAACUAGUUGUGGCAGAAAUCCUUUGGUAAAGAACAAGGCCUGAAAUUUGGGAGAGGCGAUAGUUGAUUUCAUUGACCACCAGUUCUCAACAGAUACUUUAUUAAUCCUAAGAAGAUGGAAAACAAAAUCAACUACGGCAGAGUUUGAACUCAGAGUGUAAAGCUGGGAGAAAUGCCACUAUGCAUCUUGUCUGGCAUACUAACAAUUCUGCCAGCUCACUGCCCUUGAUAAUAGUUGUAGUAGUAGUAGUAAUAAUAAUUACAGUAGACCUUGCUUUAUAAAUCAAUCUUGCGACUGCCAACUUUGGAUUCAUUAAAUAAGGGAUUUAUUAACCAAAGGAACAAAAUUUACCGAUUGAUUAAAUGUGUAUUUAUUAAAAUAUAUACAUUUGUUAAUACACGAAUAAAAGCAUUGUAAACAAUGUCAUUGAAUGAAAAAUU